rnacentral:rRNA from 1 species
GACGAACGCUGGCGGCGUGCUUAACACAUGCAAGUCGAACGGAAAGGCCCUGCUUUUGUGGGGUGCUCGAGUGGCGAACGGGUGAGUAACACGUGAGUAACCUGCCCUUGACUUUGGGAUAACUUCAGGAAACUGGGGCUAAUACCGGAUAGGAGCUCCUGCUGCAUGGUGGGGGUUGGAAAGUUUCGGCGGUUGGGGAUGGACUCGGGGCUUAUCAGCUUGUUGGUGGGGUAGUGGCUUACCAAGGCUUUGACGGGUAGCCGGCCUGGGAGGGUGACCGGCCACAUUGGGACUGAGGUACGGACCAGACUCCUACGGGAGGCAGCAGUGGGGAAUAUUGCACAAUGGGGGGAAGCCUGAGGCAGCAACGCCGCGUGCGGGAUGACGGCCUUCGGGUUGUAAACCGCUUUCGCCUGUGACGAAGCGUGAGUGACGGUAAUGGGUGAAGAAGCACCGGCUAACUACGUG